rnacentral:tRNA from 1 species
GGGGUAUAGCUCAGUUGGCUAGAGCACCUGCCCUGCAAGCAGGGGGUCGUCGGUUCGAUUCCGACUAUCUCC